rnacentral:rRNA from 1 species
GACGAACGCUGGCGGCGUGCUUAACACAUGCAAGUCGAACGGUGAAGGGCCUAGCUUGCUGGUUCUGGAUCAAACGCGUACGGAACAGUAACAUGAGCGUACCUUGACUUCUUGUUCUGGAUAACCACAUGAAAGUGUGGCUACUACGGAAUAUUUUGUGUCUGUUGCAUGGUGGGCCCGGGCAAGAUAUUGCUUUGGUGGGGGGUGGUCUCGCGGGCUUUCAGCUUGGGGGUGUGGUGAUGGCUUACCAAGGCGGCGACGGGUAGCCGGCCUGAGAGGGUCGACGGUCACAGUGGAACUGAGACACGGCCCAGACGCCUACGGGAGGCAGCAGUGGGGAAUAUUGCACAAUGGGUGCAAGCCUGAUGCAGCGACGCCGCGGGAGGGAUGGAGGCCGUCGGGUUGUAAACCUCUUUCGCCAGUGAAGCAUGCCUGCUCCUUGUGGGUGGGUUGACGGUAGCUGGAGAAGAAGCGCCGGCUAACUACGUG